AGUGAACGCUGGCGGUAGGCCUAACACAUGCAAGUCGAACGGCAGCACAGGAGAGCUUGCUCUCUGGGUGGCGAGUGGCGGACGGGUGAGGAAUACAUCGGAAUCUACUCUGUCGUGGGGGAUAACGUAGGGAAACUUACGCUAAUACCGCAUACGACCUACGGGUGAAAGCAGGGGACCUUCGGGCCUUGCGCGAUUGAAUGAGCCGAUGUCGGAUUAGCUGGUUGGCGGGGUAAAGGCCCACCAAGGCGACGAUCCGUAGCUGGUCUGAGAGGAUGAACAGCCAAAGUGGAACUGAGACACGGUCCAGACUCCUACGGGAGGCAGCAGUGGGGAAUAUUGGACAAGGGGCGCAAGCCUGAUCCAGCCAUACCGCGUGGGUGAAGAAGGCCUUCGGGUUGUAAAGCCCUUUUGUUGGGAAAGAAAUCCAGCUGGCUAAUACCCGGUUGGGAUGACGGUACCCAAAGAAUAAGCACCGGCUAACUUCGUGCCAGCCGCCGCCGUAA
rnacentral:rRNA from 1 species